rnacentral:rRNA from 1 species
AACGAACGCUGGCGGCAGGCCUAACACAUGCAAGUCGAGCGAGACCUUCGGGUCUAGCGGCGGACGGGUGAGUAACGCGUGGGAAUAUGCCCUUCUCUACGGAAUAGCCUCGGGAAACGGAGAGUAAUACCGUAUGUGGUCGAGAGACGAAAGAUUUAUCGCCAAAGGAUCGGCCCGCGUUGGAUUAGGUAGUUGGUGGGGUAAUGGCCUACCAAGCCGACGAUCCAUAGCUGGUUUGAGAGGAUGAUCAGCCACACUGGGACUGAGACACGGCCCAGACUCCUACGGGAGGCAGCAGUGGGGAAUCUUAGACAAUGGGGGAAACCCUGAUCUAGCCAUGCCGCGUGAUCGAUGAAGGCCUUAGGGUUGUAAAGAUCUUUCAGUGGGGAAGAUAAUGACUGUACCCACAGAAGAAGCCCCGGCUAACUCCGUGCCAGCCGCCGCGGUAAGAC